GACGUAGGGCGCGAGCGUUGUCCGGAUUUAUUGGGCGUAAAGAGCUCGUAGGCGGCUUGUCGCGUCGAAUGUGAAAUCUCAGGGCUCAACUCUGACAUUGCAUUCGAUACGGGCAGGCUAGAGUUCGGUAGGGGAGACUGGAAUUCCUGGUGUAGCGGUGAAAUGCGCAGAUAUCAGGAGGAACACCGAUGGCGAAGGCAGGUCUCUGGGCAUUAACUGACGCUGAGGAGCGAAAGCAUGGGGAGCGAACAGG
rnacentral:rRNA from 1 species